rnacentral:rRNA from 1 species
AGAGUUUGAUCCUGGCUCAGAUUGAACGCUGGCGGUAGGCUUAACACAUGCAAGUCGAGCGAGAAAGUAUCUUCGGAUAUGAGUAGGGCGGCGGACGGGUGAGUAACGCGUAGGAAUCUACCUAGUAGAAGGGGAUAGCCCGGGGAAACUCGGAUUAAUACCGUAUACCUCCUAAGGGAGAAAGAGGGCCUCUCUUGAUGCUCUCGCUAUUAGAUGAGCCUGCGUAAGAUUAGCUUGUUGGUAAGGUAAUGGCUUACCAAGGCUACGAUCUUUAGCUGGUCUGAGAGGACGAUCAGCCACAUUGGGACUGAGACACGGCCCAGACUCCUACGGGAGGCAGCAGUGGGGAAUAUUGGACAAUGGGCGCAAGCCUGAUCCAGCCAUACCGCGUGUGUGAAGAAGGCCUUCGGGUUGUAAAGCACUUUAAGCAGGGAGAAAAAGUUAUAAGUUAAUACCUUGUAACCGUGAUGUUACCUGCAGAAUAAGCACCGGCUAAUUCCGUGCCAGCAGCCGCGGUAAUACGGAAGGUGCAAGCGUUAAUCGGAAUUACUGGGCGUAAAGCGCGCGUAGGUGGUUUGUUAAGUUGGAUGUGAAAGCCCUGGGCUCAACCUAGGAACUGCAUCCAAAACUAACUCACUAGAGUACGAUAGAGGGAGGUAGAAUUCAUAGUGUAGCGGUGGAAUGCGUAGAUAUUAUGAAGAAUACCAGUGGCGAAGGCGGCCUCCUGGAUCUGUACUGACACUGAGGUGCGAAAGCGUGGGUAGCGAACAGGAUUAGAUACCCUGGUAGUCCACGCCGUAAACGAUGACAACUAGCUGUUGGGAGACAAUGUCUUUCAGUGGCGCAGCUAACGUUUUAAGUUGUCCGCCUGGGGAGUACGGCCGCAAGGCUAAAACUCAAAUGAAUUGACGGGGACCCGCACAAGCGGUGGAGCAUGUGGUUUAAUUCGAUGCAACGCGAAAAACCUUACCUACUCUUGACAUACUUGGAAGCUCUUGU